rnacentral:rRNA from 1 species
CCCUUAGAUGUUCUGGGCUGCACGCGUGCUACACUGAUUACUUCAACAAGUGUUUUAACUGGAGAGUUUGCGUAAUCCUGAAAUGCUAUCGUGAUGGGAGUAGAGUAUUGUAUUUGUUAAUCUUUAACGAGGAAUUCCUAGUAAGUGUAGGUUUAUAAGUUGUUCUGAUUACGUCCCUGCCCUUUGUACACACCGCCCGUCGCUCCUACCGAUUGAUUGAUCCGGUGAAUUACAUAGAAUUUUGCGUUUUACAUGACGGAAGAUGAAGUGUUUUAAACCUUAUCAUUUAGAGGAAGGAGAAGUCGUAACA